rnacentral:lncRNA from 1 species
UUAUUGAUGAGAAACAUCCCACAUCGGAUAUAUAAGAAUUAAUCUACUACUAUAUAAAGGAUUAGGGCCAAUCCACUAAUUGCCAAUUGGUUUUAAGUUGGAAGCCCAUAAUAAACCCGAAUCUAACAUGGUAUCAGAGCGAUAAGAUCCUUUGACCUAAUUUACUACUACUACUGUACCGAUGUUGGGCCCUCUGUGGAUGUUAUUCCCACAUUGUCCACGCUUCAGACCUAGAUGUCUGAGCGUGAGGGAGGGUAUUGAUGAGAAACAUCCCACAUCGGAUAUAUAAGAAUUAAUCUACUACUAUAUAAAGGGUUAGGGCCAAUCCACUCAUUGCCAAUUGGUUUUAAGUUGGAAGCCCAUAAUAAACCCGAAUCUAACAAAAU